AACGAACGCUGGCGGCAGGCUUAACACAUGCAAGUCGAGCGCCCCGCAAGGGGAGCGGCAGACGGGUGAGUAACGCGUGGGAAUCUACCCAUCUCUACGGAAUAACGCAUGGAAACGUGUGCUAAUACCGUAUACGUCCUUCGGGAGAAAGAUUUAUCGGAGAUGGAUGAGCCCGCGUUGGAUUAGCUAGUUGGUGGGGUAAAGGCCUACCAAGGCGACGAUCCAUAGCUGGUCUGAGAGGAUGAUCAGCCACACUGGGACUGAGACACGGCCCAGACUCCUACGGGAGGCAGCAGUGGGGAAUAUUGGACAAUGGGCGCAAGCCUGAUCCAGCCAUGCCGCGUGAGUGAUGAAGGCCCUAGGGUUGUAAAGCUCUUUCACCGGCGAAGAUAAUGACGGUAACCGGAGAAGAAGCCCCGGCUAACUUCGUGCCAGCCGCCGCGGUAA
rnacentral:rRNA from 2 species